AACAGGAAGGUUCUCAGGUCACUAAAUCAUGACUGUGGCUUGUCACUGCCUUUUGCCAGAAUUAAACUAAUUUUGACAUAGAUUUCUUCCUUUUGUGUGACACUGGACUGUCUGGACUGUUUGUCACUAAAAAAUUCUUAACACCAGUUUUUAUGUCCAAGUAAUAAGCAUACUUGGCCUGGAAUAGACAGGUAGAGCUUCACUGAGCAGUCUUUGUUCUCAAACUUGUUGGUUUGGAGCUGAAAAAGCUUCCAAGAAGUUCCUGUUUUUCUUGCUCCCCGUGCCUAUCGUCUAAGGCGCAAUGAACAAGAAGUGGCAUCCUAACAAUAUUCUGCUUUGUCUUGACUAUCCAAGCAAACUCUUCAGGUUGUUUCUGUGUAUCUGGGGUGCUGGGAGACUGCAGGAAUGCAGAAGAGUCCUUUGUUUACAGCAACCAGUCACUGGAACUACCUUUCUGCCUCGGAAUAUAUGCACUGGUACUGCAAGAAAACAAGCAAUUCACCUCUUCAGAAAAGGAGCAGCACCACAAUCACACCUGUGUGUAUCCUUGGUUUCAGACUGAUCUUCAGCUUUUCCUUGCCUCACCAGAAAGACAUGUCCUGCUGAUGCAUUUUGAGAUGCUCCCCAUCUAUUUUUUGCAUCGGCAUUUGGUCAUGAUACGGGUCAGCAGAGGAUGGUCGCAGU